AAAGUGGAGCAAUCCAUGAGUACAGUGGCGUACGGGUGAGUAACACGUGGAUCAUCUACCUUUUAGUGGGGAAUACCCCCGGGAAACUGGGGAUAAUACCGCAUAAUCUCGUGAGAGGAAAGCAGCAAUGCGCUGAAAGAGGAGUCCGCGGCUGAUUAGCUAGUUGGUGAGGUAAUGGCUCACCAAGGCGAAGAUCGGUAGCCGGCCUGAGAGGGCACACGGCCACACUGGCACUGAAACACGGGCCAGACUCCUACGGGAGGCAGCAGUGGGGAAUCUUGCACAAUGGAGGAAACUCUGAUGCAGCGACGCCGCGUGAGCGAUGAAGCCCUUCGGGGUGUAAAGCUCUUUCGACGGGAACGAUAAUGACGGUACCCGAAGAAGAAGCUGCGGCUAACUACGUGCCAGCAGCCGCGGUAAUACGUAGGCAGCAAGCGUUGUUCGGAAUUACUGGGCGUAAAGAGUGUGUAGGCGGUGCUCUAAGUCUGUUGUGAAAUCUCCCGGCUUAACCGGGAGGGUGCGGCGGAAACUGGAGUGCUUGAGGGUGGGAGAGGUAAGCGGAAUUCCUGGUGUAGCGGUGAAAUGCGUAGAUAUCAGGAGGAACACCUGUGGUGUAGACAGCUUACUGGACCACUUCUGACGCUGAGACACGAAAGCGUGGGUAGCAAACAGGAUUAGAUACCCUGGUAGUCCACGCCCUAAACGAUGCAUACUUGGUGUGAGCGAUUCAUUUCGUUCGUGCCGGAGCUAACGCGUUAAGUAUGCCGCCUGGGGAGUACGGUCGCAAGGCUGAAACUC
rnacentral:rRNA from 1 species